UAUGGCCAUAGCACGUUGAAAUACAGGUUCCCGUAUGAUCAUGGAAGUUAAGCACCGUUGACCCUUGUCAGUGCCUAGGUGGGUGACCGCUUUGGAAUACCAUAUGCUGUAAG